UACGUAGGGGCUAGCGUUGUCCGGAUUUAUUGGGCGUAAAGAGCGUGUAGGCGGCCAUGUAGGUCCGGUGUGAAAACUCGAGGCUUAACCUCGAGAUGUCAUCGGAAACCAUUUGGCUAGAGUCCGGAAGAGGAGAGUGGAAUUCCUGGUGUAGCGGUGAAAUGCGCAGAUAUCAGGAAGAACACCAAUGGCGAAAGCAGCUCUCUGGGACGGUACUGGACGCUGAGACGCGAAAGCGUGGGGAGCGAACAGG
rnacentral:rRNA from 1 species